GCCCUCGUAGCUCAGUUUGGAUAGAGCACAGGAUUCCUAAUCCUGGGGUCGCGUGUUCGAGUCACGCCGGGGGCACCA
rnacentral:tRNA from 1 species